CUGCUUCAUUGCUACUUCAAGUCCUCGUCAACGGUCGGAUUUUUACAAGGAAAACAAAUUCAAUUGAAUGUUUUCAAGUCAUUCUAUGAAAGGAGAGACUAUCUUAUACAGCUAUAUAGCGUGCGAUAAGAUUCACGAGGGCGCAUUGAGCAUUGCAAUUUUUUAUCCCACAAGGAGCUAUCGAGAACUAAUAUACUGGAUUAAGAACAGCUCAUAACUAUUGCUGAUUAAAUUACACAGAUGGGAAAUAUUUGUUUAGAUUAAAGGGCAGGGAAUAGAACUCUUCACUCCUUGUAUCACCCUUGUAUGAUCGGAAUUUG
rnacentral:lncRNA from 1 species